GCUCCGGUGGCAUAGUGGUUAGAGCGUCCGCCUCGGAUGCGGGAGGUCGUGGGUUUUAUCCCAGGUGGAGUG